GGUUUUAUAUUCAAUUAUGAUUUUAGACUGCAAUUCUGAAGGUGUAAUUUUUUUACUAAGGCCU
rnacentral:tRNA from 1 species